rnacentral:rRNA from 1 species
UACGAAGGGGGCUAGCGUUGCUCGGAAUUACUGGGCGUAAAGCGCACGUAGGCGGAUUGUUAAGUCGGGGGUGAAAUCCUGGAGCUCAACUCCAGAACUGCCUUCGAUACUGGCGAUCUCGAGUUCGGGAGAGGUGAGUGGAACUGCGAGUGUAGAGGUGAAAUUCGUAGAUAAUUCGCAAGAACACCAGUGGCGAAGGCGGCUCACUGGCCCGGAUACUGACGCUGAGGUGCGAAAGCGUGGGGAGCAAACAGG